UACAGAGGGGGCAAGCGUUGUUCGGAAUUACUGGGCGUAAAGGGCGCGUAGGCGGCCUUCUAAGUCGAACGUGAAAUCCCUGGGCUCAACCCAGGAACUGCGUCCGAUACUGGAGGCUUGAAUCCGGGAGAGGGAUGCGGAAUUCCAGGUGUAGCGGUGAAAUGCGUAGAUAUCUGGAGGAACACCGGUGGCGAAGGCGGCAUCCUGGACCGGAGUAGACGCUGAGGCGCGAAAGCUAGGGGAGCAAAGCGGG
rnacentral:rRNA from 1 species